rnacentral:rRNA from 1 species
CACCGCGGUUAUACGAGAGGCCCAAGUUGAUAAGCAUCGGCGUAAAGGGUGGUUAGGGAAAACUAUACAAUAAAGCCGAACAUCUUCAAAACUGUUAUACGCCCUCGAAGAUCUGAAGCCCCACCACGAAAGUGGCUUUAUAUGACCCCGAACCCACGAGAGCCAGGGAACAAACUGGGAUUAGAUACCCCACUAUGCCUGGCUGUAAACAUUGAUAAAAUACCACAAAUAUUAUCCGCCCGGGUACUACGAGCACUAGCUUAAAACCCAAAGGACUUGGCGGUGCUUUAGACCCCCCUAGAGGAGCCUGUUUCUAGAACCGAUAAUCCCCGUUCAACCUCACCCCUCCCUGUCAAUCCUGCCUAUAUACCGCCGUCGCCAGCCUACCCUGUGAAGGAACCAUAGUGGGCCAUACUGGUAAUACCCCAAACGUCAGGUCGAGGUGUAGCAUAUGGAGGGGGAAGUAAUGGGCUACAUUCACUGCAUCAGUGAAUACGAAAGGUGCACUGAAAGACGCACCUGAAGGUGGAUUUAGCAGUAAGAGGGGAGCAGAGUGCCCUUCUGAAAUCGGCUCUUGAGCGUGCACACAUCGCCCGUCACUCUCCCCGAACCCGUCUAUUCUCGUACUUAACAAUACGGACACCACUAAGGGGAGGCAAGUCGUAA